CCCGCACAAGCGGUGGAUGAUGUGGAUUAAUUCGAUGCAACGCGAAGAACCUUACCUACCCUUGACAUGUCCGGAACUUGCCAGAGAUGGCUUGGUGCCCGAAAGGGAAUCGGAACACAGGUGCUGCAUGGCUGUCGUCAGCUCGUGUCGUGAGAUGUUGGGUUAAGUCCCGCAACGAGCGCAACCCUUAUCAUUAGUUGCUACGCAAGGGCACUCUAAUGAGACUGCCGGUGACAAACCGGAGGAAGGUGGGAUGACGUCAAGUCCUCAUGGCCCUUAUGUCCAGGGCUACACACGUGCUACAAUGGCCGGUACAGAGUGACGCGAAGCCGCGAGGUGGAGCAAAUCGCAGAAAGCCGGCCUUAGUUCGGAUUGGAGUCUGAAGCUCGACUCCAUGAAGGUGGAAUCGCUAGUAAUCGCGCAUCAGCAUGGCCGCGGUCGAAUACGUUCCCGGGCCUU
rnacentral:rRNA from 1 species